rnacentral:rRNA from 1 species
GACGAACGCUGGCGGCGUGCUUAACACAUGUAAGUCGAACGGAAAGGCCCUGCUUUUGUGGGGUGCUCGAGUGGCGAACGGGUGAGUAACACGUGAGUAACCUGCCCUUGACUUUGGGAUAACUUCAGGAAACUGGGGCUAAUACCGGAUAGGAGCUCCUGCUGCAUGGUGGGGGUUGGAAAGUUUCGGCGGUUGGGGAUGGACUCGCGGCUUAUCAGCUUGUUGGUGGGGUAGUGGCUUACCAAGGCUUUGACGGGUAGCCGGCCUGAGAGGGUGACCGGCCACAUUGGGACUGAGAUACGGCCCAGGCUCCUACGGGAGGCAGCAGUGGGGAAUAUUGCACAAUGGGCGGAAGCCUGAUGCAGCAACGCCGCGUGCGGGAUGACGGCCUUCGGGUUGUAAACCGCUUUCGCCUGUGACGAAGCGUGAGUGACGGUAAUGGGUAAAGAAGCACCGGCUAACUACGUG